rnacentral:misc_RNA from 1 species
GAUGAAGAACGCAGUGAAAUGCGAUAAGUAAUGCGAAUUGCAGAAUCCGUGAGUCAUCGAAUCUUUGAACGCACAUUGCGCCCCCUGGUAUUCCGGGGGGCAUGCCUGUCCGAGCGUCAUUACAACCCUCAAGCUCAGCUUGGUGUUGGGCCCCGCCGCCCCGGCGGGCCCUAAAGUCAGUGGCGGUGCCGUCCGGCUCCGAGCGUAGUAAUUCUUCUCGCUCUGGAGGUCCGGUCGUGUGCUCGCCAGCAACCCCCAAUUUUUUUCAGGUUGACCUCGGAUCAGGUAGGGAUACCCGCUGAACUUAAGCAUAUCAAUAAGCGGAGGA